rnacentral:rRNA from 1 species
GAUGAACGCUGGCGGCGUGCCUAAUACAUGCAAGUCGAGCGAACGGACGAGAAGCUUGCUUCUCUGAUGUUAGCGGCGGACGGGUGAGUAACACGUGGAUAACCUACCUAUAAGACUGGGAUAACUUCGGGAAACCGUAGCUAAUACCGGAUAAUAUUUUGAACCGCAUGGUUCAAAAGUGAAAGACGGUCUUGCUGUCACUUCUCGAUGCAUCCGCGCUGCAUUAGCUAGUUGGUAAGGUCACGGCUUACCAAGGCGACGAUGCCUAGCCGACCUGAGAGGGUGAUCGGCCACACUGGAACUGAGACGCGGUCCAGACUCCUACGGGAGGCAGCAGUAGGGAAUCUUCCGCAAUGGGCGAAAGCCUGACGGAGCAACGCCGCGUGAGUGAUGAAGGUCUUCGGAUCGGAAAACUCUGUUAUUAGGGAAGAACAUAUGUGUAAGUAACUGUGCACAUCUUGACGGUACCUAAUCAGAAAGCCACGGCUAACUACGUG